UACAGAGGGUGCAAGCGUUGUUCGGAAUUAUUGGGCGUAAAGCGCGUGUAGGCGGCUUAGCAAGUCGGGCGUGAAAGCCCUCGGCUCAACCGAGGAAGUGCACCCGAAACUGCUGAGCUUGAGUGCCGGAGAGGAUGGCGGAAUUCCCCAAGUAGAGGUGAAAUUCGUAGAUAUGGGGAGGAACACCGGUGGCGAAGGGGGCCAUCUGGACGGUAACUGACGCUGAGACGCGAAAGCGUGGGGAGCAAACAGG
rnacentral:rRNA from 1 species